rnacentral:snRNA from 1 species
GUUUAGUAGGCAGCACACAUACUAAAACUGGAAAAGUACAGAGAUUAGCAUAGCUCCUGUACAAGGAUGACAAGCAGAUUAGAAAAGUACUCUGUAUUUUA